UGUUCUGGCUUCACCCUGUUUCUACUGUUAAUAUUUGGCGUAAUUAACAAAAUAACUAAAAAAUUACACAUGGUGUGCUACGUCUAUCUCAGCUUGACAAAUAGAGACUAGUUUUUAACGGUAGAAAUAGAUGAAAUUUUUAACA
rfam:Gossypium hirsutum cultivar TM-1 chromosome 3, whole genome shotgun sequence